AGAUCUUCUUAAAAAAAGGGAUUUAUUGUCAAGGAAUUUGAUAGAAAAUCAAUGUUACAAGGAAAAUAAAAUGAGAGGAGCGAGGCAGCUGCCAGAUAGAGAGGUGACAGGCUUGACACUUGUGGACAUAACAUAAGAAUAUCUGAAGAAUUUAUAUAUUAAAAUAGGCCAACGCAGAAAAAUAAUACAGAUCAUACAUUCUGCAACUUCAUCGUCUGCUGCAUUAAAAGGUUCCAUCAAUGGAAAGGUUUGAAAAUGCAGGUGAAUCCUUUGAAUGUUAUAAAUUUACUGCUUGCUACAUUCCAAACAUUAAAUAUAAAAAAACUCCAAUAAACAUGAGGGAAGUUUAAAUGAAAGCACGAUUUAAAGCAAUUUUGUUGGAUACCAUGGAAAAAUUUAACGGGGUGGAUAUGAUCGUUGAAGAGUCCUUAGAUUACCAAGAACCUUUUAAAAAUUUAGAUGCACAAAUCAUAGAGGAUGAUGUUCAACACCAUAUUCCUGAUCCGCCUUUUUCGCCUACGGAUAGAUGCACAAAAGAUGAGGAAGAGAUAUCAUACGACUAUAAAUUAAGAGCAGUCGAAUAUUGGAGAAGUGGAAAGAAGAAAAAUUUAAGUCUAAGAGUGUUCAGCAAAAAUUCAGAAAAGUUCUUUCAGGGAAACUAUUAAGACGUUGGGCCCAUACACUCCAUAAAGGCGGUACUUAUAGAAAAAAAGUUGCUAGGAUAUGUGACAUUACUUUAUAGAAUUUCAAAAAAGCAGUUGAUGACGGGCUAAUUAUUCAUAAUAUAGACAUAUGCAGGUGGGCAUUAAAAGCACAAUAAGAAAUUGGUCAUGAAGAAUUUCGCUUCCGCGCUUCUCGAGCAUGGCUUGCUAAAUUUAAAAGCAAACACAGAAUCGUUUCCAGAAAAGUAAACUGGUUUGUUACCAGAAAGAAAUUGGAAAAUGUCAACGAGUUAAAAACGAAGGCAGAUGAAUUUGUAGCCAGUGUGAAGCCAGAGAUAGCGAAUGUUGGAGUACAGAAUGUUUAUAAUUCGGAUCAAAGUGGCUUUCAAUUGGAAAUUCAUUCCGGGAGAACUUUAGCUGUUAAAGGAGAAAAAAGGUGGAAUCGUUGUCCAGUUCAUGUCGUCCACUACCCAUGGUUACCAAAUAGCAUUUUACUCUUUAAUUCGUGGAGUGGUCAUUGCCCAACUCUACUGCCCUGGCGGACCGAAGAAACCGAAUGAAGCCUCUAGAAAGUACCCGUAAAGACUCCAUUGGAUCCCCAUUCGGU